rnacentral:rRNA from 1 species
GUGAGGAAUAUUGGACAAUGGGCGCAAGCCUGAUCCAGCCAUGCCGCGUGCAGGAAGACGCAUCUAUGGUGUGUAAACUGCUUUUGUACGGGAAGAAACACUCCCUCGUGAGGGAGCUUGACGGUACCGUAAGAAUAAGGAUCGGCUAACUCCGUGCCAGCAGCCGCGGUAAUACGGAGGAUCCAAGCGUUAUCCGGAAUCAUUGGGUUUAAAGGGUCCGUAGGCGGUUUAAUAAGUCAGUGGUGAAAGCCCAUCGCUCAACGAUGGAACGGCCAUUGUGACUGUUAGACUUGAAUUACAAGGAAGUAACUAGAAUAUGUAGUGUAGCGGUGAAAUGCUUAGAUAUUACAUGGAAUACCAAUUGCGAAGGCAGGUUACUACUUGUGGAUUGACGCUGAUGGACGAAAGCGUGGGGAGCGAACAGGAUUAGAAACCCCUGUAGUCC